rnacentral:rRNA from 1 species
AGAGUUUGAUCCUGGCUCAGAAUCAACGCUGGCGGCGUGCCUAACACAUGCAAGUCGAACGAGAAAGGGGAGCAAUCCCUGAGUAAAGUGGCGCACGGGUGAGUAACACGUGACUAACCUACCCUGGAGUGGGGGAUAACUGAGGGAAACCUUAGCUAAUACCGCAUAAUACCCACGGGUCAAAGGAGCAAUUCGCUCCAGGAGGGGGUCGCGGCCGAUUAGCUAGUUGGCGGGGUAACGGCCCACCAAGACGAUGAUCGGUAUCCGGCCUGAGAGGGCGCACGGACACACUGGAACUGAAACACGGUCCAGACUCCUACGGGAGGCAGCAGUGGGGAAUUUUGCGCAAUGGGGGAAACCCUGACGCAGCAACGCCGCGUGGAGGAUGAAGUCCUUCGGGACGUAAACUCCUUUCGAUCGGGACGAUUAUGACGGUACCGGAAGAAGAAGCCCCGGCUAACUUCGUGCCAGCAGCCGCGGUAAUACGAGGGGGGCGAGCGUUGUUCGGAAUUAUUGGGCGUAAAGGGUGCGUAGGCGGUUUGGUAAGUCUUGUGUGAAAUCUACAGGCUCAACUUGUAGUCUGCACGAGAAACUGCCGGGCUUGAGUGUGGGAGAGGUGAGUGGAAUUUCCGGUGUAGCGGUGAAAUGCGUAGAUAUCGGAAGGAACACCUGUGGCGAAAGCGGCUCACUGGACCACAACUGACGCUGAUGCACGAAAGCUAGGGGAGCAAACAGGAUUAGAUACCCUGGUAGUCCUAGCCCUAAACGAUGACUGCUUGGUGUGACGGGUACCCAAUCCCGCCGUGCCGUAGCUAACGCGUUAAGCAGUCCGCCUGGGGAGUACGGUCGCAAGGCUGAAACUCAAAGGAAUUGACGGGGGCCCGCACAAGCGGUGGAGCAUGUGGUUUAAUUCGACGCAACGCGAAGAACCUUACCUG